rnacentral:rRNA from 1 species
UGAGGAAUAUUGGUCAAUGGGCGAGAGCCUGAACCAGCCAAGUAGCGUGCAGGAUGACGGCCCUAUGGGUUGUAAACUGCUUUUAUAUGGGAAUAAAGUGAGGGACGUGUCCCUUAUUGCAUGUACCAUAUGAAUAAGGACCGGCUAAUUCCGUUCCAGCAGCCGCGGUAAUACGGAAGGUCCAGGCGUUAUCCGGAUUUAUUGGGUUUAAAGGGAGCGUAGGCUGUUUGUUAAGCGUGUUGUGAAAUGUAAGAGCUCAACUUUUAGAUUGCAGCGCGAACUGGCAGACUUGAGUGCGCACAACGUAGGCGGAAUUCAUGGUGUAGCGGUGAAAUGCUUAGAUAUCAUGACGAACUACGAUUGCGAAGGCAGCUUACGGGAGCGAAACUGACGCUAAAGCUCGAAGGUGCGGGUAUCGAACAGG